rnacentral:lncRNA from 1 species
GUUGACCACUUUUAUUAACAGUAAAAUAUAUCACAAUAUUGAAUAUGUCACAUGUAAAUAACAAUAAGAUGUAGACAGCUAGUGUAAACCAAUGGGACUGUGUAUUACACUGAAGCAACAGAAAAUGUUUUUGAGGUUAGUGGGAAACCAGUAUGGUUCUGAGGGAAGAUAAGGUGCUUUCUCCUUCCUUUCAGAUGUCUAUUGAAUAAUUGAACUCUUUAGGUGAAACAGGUAACAAAAUUUGUUAAUCUAAAUAAUACUAAAGUGUCAAUUUUAUCCUUUAGAACUAAUCAUCACUUUAUUUCUUCUUUUGCAUCGGUGACAUAUAUCUCAAACAUUUAAUUUAUAUAAUUGUUUUCAUGAUCAGCACAUUUAUCAAUUUGAAAAUAAAAAGCCUACUAAAGACCUUUGAAAAUUUUUUUGUCUGAUGUUGUAUACCCAUUCUCUGUAUGGUUAGAUAGGUAGGUAGGCAUUUUAUUCUUUUUAGACCAACAACAUAAGUUUUGUUUUAUAGACAAGAAAACAACUUUAUGAUUAUAGCAGGAAUUUUUGUUCUCCAAAAAGUUGGAAAUAAUUUGUGUUAAAAAAUUUCUGAUACUCUUUGUAGGUGGGGAGGUAGGCAACAUUUAAUAAUUAAUAUUCUAUGUUUGGCCCGAUACUUAUAAUGAAAUAAUUGACUCACAAACAAAUGGACGAAGGAACGAACGAACAACAGACAAACAAAAGGACGCACAGACCAAAAUUCAUAAUGCCCAUAAAUGGGUCAUAAAAAUGCUUAUGAAAAUACUUUAUAUACACAAAGAAUAACUUUAUAUGAAUGACAAAUUGUUUUCCCGAUAUAACUAUUUAAAAAAUGCAUUAAAAAUUGUAAAAUGAUAUUCAACAUGUGAAAAUAAAUGGUCUUAGGGGAUUAAAACACUUAAACCUCUUACAUGAAUGAAAUGAAUUAAAGCUGAUAAAACUUUCAAAUGAAUGAAUAAUUCUUCCAUGCAAAUUAGCUCAUCUUGCACCAA